rnacentral:SRP_RNA from 1 species
UACCCGCAAUCCGCUAUAGCGGGGGUGAACUCCUGCCCGCGGUGCCGUCUUGUGGGCAGUGCCUGCGUAAGUGGCGUUGAUGGUUGGGCGCUGCGCAACGGCUGACGUGCCAACCCCGCCAGGUCCGGAAGGAAGCAACGGUCAACACGAUCUCCGUGUGCCGCAGACCUACCCAGCCGGAGUCAACUGCGCAGGUCGACACCCGGAAGGCGCGCAUCAACGGCAGGUGCACGG